AGAGUUUGAUCCUGGCUCAGGAUGAACGCUAGCGGCAGGCUUAAUACAUGCAAGUCGAGGGGCAGCACAGAUAGCAAUAUUGGGUGGCGACCGGCAAACGGGUGCGGAACACGUACACAACCUUCCUGUAAGUGGGGGAUAGCCCAGAGAAAUUUGGAUUAAUACCCCGUAGAAUUGUAGAGUGGCAUCGCUUAGCAAUU
rnacentral:rRNA from 1 species